CCUACGGGAGGCUGCAGUGGGGGAUAUUGCACAAUGGGGGAAACCCUGAUGCAGCGACGCCGCGUGUGGGAAGACGGUCCUCUGGAUUGUAAACCACUGUUCCCAGGGACGAAGAUGACGGUACCUGGGGAGGUAGCUCCGGCUAACUACGUGCCAGCAGCCGCGGUAAUACGUAGGGAGCGAGCGUUGUCCGGAAUUACUGGGUGUAAGGGGAGCGUUGGCGGGGAUGCAGGUAGGGUGUAAAAACUACCGGCUCAACUGGUAGUCGCACUCAAAACUGGAGCUCUUGAGUGAAGUAGAGGCAGGCGGAAUUCCUGGUGUAGCGGUGAAAUGCGUAGAUAUUAGGAAGAACACCGAUGGCGAAGGCAGCCUGCUAAGCUUUUACUGACGCUGAGGCUCGAAAGUGUGGGUAGCAAACAGGAUUAGAUACCCCAGUAGUC
rnacentral:rRNA from 1 species